rnacentral:rRNA from 2 species
UACGGAGGGCGCGAGCGUUGUUCGGAAUCAUUGGGCGUAAAGCGCGUGUAGGCGGCUUGGUAAGUCGAGUGUGAAAGCCCGGGGCUCAACCCCGGAAGGUCGCUCGAAACUGCCUCGCUAGAGUCCCGGAGAGGAAGGCGGAAUUCCCGGUGUAGAGGUGAAAUUCGUAGAUAUCGGGAGGAACACCAGCGGCGAAGGCGGCCUUCUGGACGGUGACUGACGCUGAGACGCGAAAGCGUGGGGAGCAAACAGG